GUAACAUCUAUACACAAGUGAUGGUCAAUUUUUUUUUUAUAGCCUGGCUGUGAUCAUCAAAAAGACUCUCAUGGAGAGAGAAACCAGGGCCCAGACCUGUGAGUGUGGGGCAGCUAGUUAGUGGCAUGGAGGGCAGUUAGAGAGGCGGAGAGGGGUGAAGACAGAGAGAGCCUGUUGGUCUAGUGCCUAGGUCAGCAGAGCCAGAUGAGCACGCUGGUGGGUGGAGUGCUGGACCUGAACACAGAGCUGGACCAGGUUGAAGAUGAAACCAGAGGAGAUGAAUCAGAAAUACUAAUCUAGGCAACUUUCAAGCUUUUGGUUCUGGGAAAGUUUUAGAAAUCAGGCAGAGGGUCCAGUCAGAGGGAGAGCAGCGCUUAUUCUAGGCUUUGCCCCUGGCAGUGGGGAAAAUAACAGCAUAUUGUGGGCUAAUGAGGAGGACACAUGGAGGGGGAAAUUGGCCUUGCAGGAGAGGAGAGAAUCUGGGACAAUGACACUGAGUGUUAAGGGGGUGGGGGAUCAGGGCCCAAGAGGAAGCCCACACACAACUCAUCAGGCUAUCUGCUCCCUGUUCUUGUGAAUAUGAAGACUUUAUCAGCCUCCGCAAGGAGGCUGAAGGACAAAAGGGCUUGGAGACAGGCACUGCAGGAAGAUGUCAAGGGCCAGAGUUUUGACUCCAAUCUGUUGUGAAGCAGCUGUGUGAUCUUGGAGAGGACUCAUGCCUUGAUGGAUGCCAGAGGACAGUUUAGGGACCAGCCUUGGGACAUUUUUGCUGUUUAUGGUACAGAGAUAUUGUUAUAUCUCACAGAUCUGCUCUGUGACCUGCCCACACCAGGAAUCCUUGUUCCUUCUGGGAACUGGUGUUUUGCAAAGUGAGUCUGAUCAUACUUCUCUCUUUAUUUGGUGACUGGGAAGCUCAGAACAAAUUAGGGUCCACUUUUUUCUUUUUAACUCCUCCAGUGCUGGUGAUAGAACCCAGGUCCCUGAGCAUGCCAGGCAGUACUUUACCGGCCCUCGGAUAGACUUAAUGAUAUCAGCAUGCUCUGUGCUACCCCAUGAACCUCAACAAACUAUCUGCCCAUUCCAAAGCUUAUGGGGCGAACGGCUCGCUUUGGAUGGAGCAGAUAGGAGUACCUGCCCAGACUCCA
rnacentral:lncRNA from 1 species